rnacentral:rRNA from 1 species
AUUGAACGCUGGCGGCAGGCCUAACACAUGCAAGUCGAGCGGAGCGGCGGACGGGUGAGUAAUGCCUAGGAAUCUGCCUGGUAGUGGGGGAUAACGUCCGGCAACGGGCGCUAAUAUCGCAUACUAUCAGAUGAGCCUAGGUCGCAUUAGCUAUUUGGUGGGGUAAAGGCCUACCAAGGCGACGAUCCGUAACUGGUCUGAGAGGAUGAUCAGUCACCCUGGCACUUAGACACGGUCAAGACUCCCCGGGGAGGCAGGAGUGGAGAAUAUUGGACAAUUGGCGAAAGCCUGAUCGAGCCAUGCCGCGUGUGUGAAGAAGGUCUUCAGAUUGUAAAGCACUUUAAGUUGGGAGGCGUUACCAGCAGAAUAAGCACCGGCUAACUACGUGCCAGCAGCCGCGGUAAUUC